rnacentral:rRNA from 1 species
UACGUAGGGGCCUAGCGUUGUCCGGAAUUAUUGGGCGUAAAGAGCUCGUAGGCGGUUCGGCAAGUCGGAUGUGAAAUCCCUCGGCUUAACCAGGGAACUGCGUCUGAUACUGGAUGGCUGGAGUAUGGGAGAGGAAUGCGGAAUUCCAGGUGUAGCGGUGAAAUGCGUAGAUAUCUGGAGGAACACCGGUGGCGAAGGCGGCAUUCUG